CCUACGGGGGGCAGCAGUCGAGAAUCAUUCACAAUGGGGGAAACCCUGAUGGUGCGACGCCGCGUGGGGGAAUGAAGGUCUUCGGAUUGUAAACCCCUGUCAUGUGGGAGCAAAUUAAAAAGAUAGUACCACAAGAGGAAGAGACGGCUAACUCUGUGCCAGCAGCCGCGGUAAUACAGAGGUUUCAAGCGUUGUUCGGAAUCACUGGGCGUAAAGCGUGCGUAGGCUGUUUCGUAAGUCGUGUGUGAAAGGUGCGGGCUCAACCCGCGGACGGCACAUGAUACUGCGAGACUAGAGUAAUGUAGGGGGAACCGGAAUUCUCGGUGUAGCAGUGAAAUGCGUAGAGAUCGAGAGGAACACUCGUGGCGAAGGCGGGUUCCUGGACAUUAACUGACGCUGAGGCACGAAGGCCAGGGGAGCGAAAGGGAUUAGAUACCCCUGUAGUC
rnacentral:rRNA from 1 species